GACGUAGGGCGCGAGCGUUGUCCGGAUUUAUUGGGCGUAAAGAGCUCGUAGGCGGCUUGUUGCGUCGACUGUGAAAACCUGCGGCUCAACCGUGUGGUCUGCAGUCGAUACGGGCAGGCUGGAGUUCGGUAGGGGAGACUGGAAUUCCUGGUGUAGCGGUGAAAUGCGCAGAUAUCAGGAGGAACACCUAUGGCGAAGGCAGCUCGCUGGGACGUUACUGACGCUGAGACGCGAAAGCGUGGGGAGCAAACAGG
rnacentral:rRNA from 1 species